rnacentral:rRNA from 2 species
AGUGGAAGCGUCUGGAAAGGCGCGCGAUACAGGGUGACAGCCCCGUACACAAAAGCGCAUGUGCUGUGAGCUCGAUGAGUAGGGCGGGACACGUGGUAUCCUGUCUGAAUAUGGGGGGACCAUCCUCCAAGGCUAAAUACUCCUGACUGACCGAUAGUGAACCAGUACCGUGAGGGAAAGGCGAAAAGAACCCCGGCGAGGGGAGUGAAAAAGAACCUGAAACCGUGUACGUACAAGCAGUGGGAGC